rnacentral:rRNA from 1 species
GAAAGCCGGGCUAACACCGCAUAACAUCGUCAGGAUCUCGGUCCAGAANGAUCAAAGGUGGCGCGGUUCGACCGCUAUCGCUCGAGGAUGGGCCCGCGUCCCAUUAGCUUGUUGGUGGGGUAAUGGCCUACCAAGGCUGCGAUGGGUAGCCGGCCUGAGAGGGUGAUCGGCCACACUGGAACUGAGACACGGUCCAGACUCCUACGGGAGGCAGCAGUGGGGAAUUUUGGGCAAUGGGCGAAAGCCUGACCCAGCGACGCCGCGUGGGUGAUGAAGGCCCUUGGGUCGUAAAACCCUGUCAUGCGGGACGAAUGUUCUGGGCUCUAAUACAGUCUAGAAUUGACGGUACCGCAGGAGGAAGCCCCGGCUAACUCCGUGCCAGCAGCCGCGGUAACACGGAGGGGGCGAGCGUUAUUCGGAAUUAUUGGGCGUAAAGGGCAGGUAGGCUGCCUUGUGUGUCCUCUGUGAAAGCCCUCGGCUCAACCGAGGAAUUGCAGGGGAAACUGCGAGGCUUGAGUCCGGGA